UACAGAGGGUGCAAGCGUUAAUCGGAAUUACUGGGCGUAAAGCGUGCGUAGUCGGUUAUUUAAGUCGGGUGUGAAAGCCCCGGGCUCAACCUGGGAAUUGCAUUCGAUACUGGAUAGCUAGAGUUCGGCAGAGGGAAGCGGAAUUUCCGGUGUAGCGGUGAAAUGCGUAGAGAUCCGGAGGAACACCAGCGGCGAAGGCGGCGUCCUGGACUGGUACUGACGCUCAGGAGCGAAAGCGUGGGGAGCGAUCCGG
rnacentral:rRNA from 1 species